rnacentral:rRNA from 1 species
UACGUAGGGUGCGAGCGUUAAUCGGAAUUACUGGGCGUAAAGCGUGCGCAGGCGGUUUUGUAAGACAGGCGUGAAAUCCCCGGGCUCAACCUGGGAAUGGCGCUUGUGACUGCAAAGCUAGAGUGCGGCAGAGGGGGAUGGAAUUCCGCGUGUAGCAGUGAAAUGCGUAGAUAUGCGGAGGAACACCGAUGGCGAAGGCAAUCCCCUGGGCCUGCACUGACGCUCAUGCACGAAAGCGUGGGGAGCAAACAGG